AGGUUACGCUGCUUUCCCUCCCCCCUCCCCGAGCACGAUGCCGCGCAGGAAUGUGAAAGGCUCCCGCCCGCCGCCAUUUUCUUUCUUUCUUGGCAGGCAGCGAGUGGGGCAGGAAGCGGUGGCCGAGCGAGUAUGGCGGACUAUUCCACGGUGCCCCCUCCUGCUUCGGGCGCUCCCGGGGGAGGCGGCGGUGGAGGUGGAGGAGUGAACGAUGCCUUUAAAGACGCGCUGCAGAGGGCUAGGCAGAUUGCAGCAAAAAUUGGAGGAGAUGCUGGCACAUCAAUGAAUUCAAACGACUACGGUUAUGGAGGACAAAAAAGACCUCUUGAGGAUGGAGAUGGCUCUUGGACAAGUCCGAGCAGUACAACACACUGGGAGGGAAUGCCCUCUCCUUUUAAAGAUCAACCAGAUGCUAAGAAAGUUGCUCCUCAGAAUGACUCUUUUGGAAAUCAGCUACCACCGAUGCAUCAACAACAAAGGUCUGUGAUGACAGAGGAGUACAAAGUUCCAGAUGGGAUGGUUGGAUUUAUAAUUGGCAGAGGUGGAGAGCAGAUCUCACGCAUACAGCAAGAGUCUGGCUGUAAAAUACAGAUUGCACCAGAUAGUGGAGGCCUGCCCGAAAGAUCAUGUAUGCUAACUGGAACACCAGAGUCUGUUCAAUCAGCAAAAAGAUUACUUGAUCAGAUAGUUGAAAAGGGAAGACCUGCACCUGGCUUUCAUCAUGGUGAUGGACCUGGAAAUGCAGUCCAAGAAAUUAUGAUUCCAGCAAGUAAAGCAGGAUUAGUUAUUGGAAAAGGUGGAGAGACAAUUAAACAAUUACAGGAGCGGGCAGGUGUCAAAAUGGUCAUGAUUCAAGAUGGUCCACAGAACACUGGUGCAGACAAGCCCCUUAGGAUAACUGGAGACCCUUAUAAAGUUCAACAAGCCAAGGAAAUGGUGCUGGAGUUAAUUCGUGAUCAAGGUGGCUUUAGAGAGGUGCGCAACGAAUAUGGGUCAAGAAUAGGAGGAAAUGAAGGGAUAGACGUUCCAAUACCACGAUUUGCUGUAGGUAUUGUAAUUGGAAGAAAUGGAGAGAUGAUAAAAAAGAUACAGAAUGAUGCUGGUGUUAGGAUCCAGUUUAAGCCAGAUGAUGGAACAACUCCAGAUAGAAUAGCCCAAAUCACAGGGCCUCCUGACAGAUGUCAGCAUGCUGCAGAAAUUAUUACAGAUCUCCUUCGAAGUGUUCAGGCUGGUAACCCUGGUGGACCAGGACCUGGUGGUCGAGGAAGGGGUAGAGGCCAAGGCAACUGGAACAUGGGGCCUCCUGGUGGAUUACAGGAAUUCAAUUUUAUUGUUCCCACUGGCAAAACUGGAUUAAUCAUUGGCAAAGGUGGUGAAACUAUUAAAAGCAUAAGCCAGCAGUCUGGUGCUAGAAUAGAACUUCAAAGAAAUCCUCCACCUAAUGCGGAUCCAAACAUGAAGAUGUUUACUAUCCGUGGAACACCCCAGCAAAUAGAUUAUGCACGACAACUUAUAGAAGAAAAGAUUGGCGGUCCAGUAAAUCCAUUGGGUCCACCUGUUCCCCAUGGACCCCAUGGUGUUGUUCCUGGCCCACAUGGACCUCCUGGGCCACCAGGUCCUGGUGCUCCCAUGGGACCGUAUAACCCAGCUCCUUAUAAUCCAGGGCCUCCUGGCCCUGCACCCCAUGGUCCUCCAGCUCCAUAUGCUCCACAAGGAUGGGGAAAUGCUUAUCCGCACUGGCAGCCACCAAAUCCACCAGAUCCAGGUAAGCCAGGAACAGAUCCCAAUUCAGCAGCGUGGGCAGCUUAUUAUGCUCACUACUAUCAGCAGCAAGCACAGCCACCACCUGCAGCCCCUCCUGGUGGACCAGCUACAACCCAAACUAAUGGACAAGGAGAUCAGCCAAAUCCAGCACCAGCAGGGCAGGUUGACUAUACCAAGGCCUGGGAAGAGUACUACAAAAAAAUGGGUCAAGCAGUUCCUGCCCCUGCUGGGGCUCCGCCAGGUGGUCAGCCAGAUUACAGUGCAGCAUGGGCUGAGUACUACAGGCAACAGGCAGCAUAUUACGCCCAGACAAGUCCACAGGGAAUGCCACAACAUCCUCCAGCACCACAGUGCAGGUUUGAUCCAGCCAGUAUAGAACUAGCUCUAUAGGGGUGAGGAGGACUGUGCUGUGUAUCAUCCUUGAUUGUUCCUUCAAGGAGCAUUGCACUGUAAGUACAUCAGAAUGACAAAUUGAUGAACUGCAACAGUAUCUUUUUGUCAAUGUUCCACAUAAUGAAAAUGCCAUACUUGUGUGACUAUUAUGUUGGAAUACAGUGCUGGUAUCUUAGGAAAUCAUAAUUGCUUCUUAAUUCAGAAACAUAGGUUUGCGUAUAUAUAUACAUACACAUAAUAUGAGCUUUGUGGGUAAGUAUUCCUGAAACGUUUAGCAAUAGCUAAAGAAAAUCAUGUUUCUGUUUAUCUAAGUAAUAGUUGUUUUUUUUUUUUUUCAUUAGUACUCCUGAGACAGCUGUAUCAUUCAGUGUUUUAAAGUAUGCAUAUCGUAACAUUGAAGUCUUUGGAACCACUUGUUAGACAGAAGUUGUCUUUGUCUUCAGAUAGUUUGCAGAUAUGUAGUGAUGUAGGUAUGUUUUAAAUAAUUCUAUGACUGUUACUUGCUUUAUCUUUUGGAACACCAUAUUGUUGCUUUGAGAAUAAAUUUUUUUAGGGUGGCUGCACAGAGAAGUAGAAGUUAAGGCUUGAAAAUUGAAGUAGUUUAUUCAGGUAAUUAGCAAUGUAUGUAUUGUGCUGUAGAAAUAGAAGGAAUUAUUUUUAUCCCUUUUAAAAUUAGGAAUUAUUUUGGUAGCUUAAAGGCUAGGACGGUAUUUGCUAUCUUUAGUGUAGGGUAUGAAGUUUAAUAGUUCAGAUAUUUUGCAUGGUAUUUUAUAGAUAAUCGUAUAGAAUGGUGCAUUUACUAUGUACUAAACUGAGCAAAAUUAAAUUCACUGGAUUCUUUAUCAUUCACAAAAUGGAGGCUGUUGAUUUUGAUUCAUUUAAGGUAUAAAAUCUUUAUUAAUUGCAAACAGUGCAAUUAUUUAUACUUCACAGUGCCUUCCCUGACCUUCCACCUUAGGUUCUGCUGCAAAAAAGCAACAGGUAAGCACAACCUAAGGAAGUAUAUAAACUAAUAUAUUUCAGUACAUUAAUGUUGUCCCUGUGAGAUCUUUGUGGUUGUGUAUUGAAAAGCAAUCUGCUGCUUCCCCAAAUGCAUUGUUACUCACGGUUCCAUUUCAGUGGAAAGUCUUUUAAGUUUUUAAACAACUGUUUAUAUUUCUAGGUAAAUAUGUUUUUUUAUUAUUUUUUUUAUUUUUUAUUUUUUAUUAUUUUUUAGAAAAGAUGAGUAGAUUGCAGUAAUUAAACUUGAUCAGAAUACGUAAUUUUUGUUAUUUUUCCUCAAAUAGCUAAUUGUUGCAAAUAAAGAAUCAAAACCUUUAAAAUAUGCAGGAAUUACUUUGGUUAGAAACGUCAACAGCCUUCACAAAUGUUUUUUAUAAUAGGGCACUAUUCCCACUCAAACCCAUAAGACUUAAAUAUAAAGAAUAUGACUUCUUGUUGUUAUCACUGAACUUGAUAACUUGUCUUACAGUUAUAGUGUGUUAGUGGAAUUUUUGGAUAACUUAGUUUGCUUAUUCAUACUUGACAUGUUAGGAAAACAGAUUCUGGAGUUUCAGAGAUUAGUAUGUUUUAACUGAAAAAGCAUGUGCACCAAUUAAAUGUUAACAGUAUAGCGAAUAAUAUUUUUUCUAUAUAGCAGUCAGCGUAUCCUGUUUCUUGAUACUUUAACUGAAUUGCUGUAUAUUUUGAUAGUUUAAAAUGUUUGUAUGUCUUACAGAUGGUCUGGUACAGGUUUUUGUUUCUGGUUUUUGUUGUGUUUUGUUUUUUGUUUUGUUUUGUUUUUUUUUUUAGCUUAAAGUAAAGCAGCAUCUAUUUGGUUUUUUGUUGAUUAUUGUUUCUGAAAUGUGCUGCUCCUCUUUCAAAAGUCCUGCUUAUCUGUACAUCAAAGAAAAAUAUUCAAAAAAUACUGCCUUCAUUUUCACACACAGUGCUGAAGAUGCUGCAAGCACCAAAUCAUAGCUCAUAGAAUCAGGUCCUGAGAUAGUUACUACCAGUAAAGAGGAAUCCUUUGAGUGUAUGCCAUUGGUGAGCCGAUGAGCAUGGACCAUAGAAGGGCUCCAUGUAGAAGACAUUUAAUCAUCACUGAAGAAAGGGAAUUGAGAUGCUCUGAUCUCUUCACUAUUGCUUGUCUCCAGUGAACAUUUAUCUGCUAAGAGAAGCCUGUAGUUUGCAAACUGCAGUCAAGAACAGAAGAAUGAACCAUCUUCAGAAGACAUCUCAAAGUACUUUAUUUGUUAAUGGAGGAAAUGGACCGGGAACUGUCAGAGUAUUGAUAAUCCAGAUUUCUGUAUACUGCAAGCAGCCCUGGGACUGAUCUCCUUUGAUUUCUUUCUUCCCUUGCUUUCUGCAUAGCUUCAAAUUUAUCCUUUACAUCACCCUUGUGAAGCUUGGGCACAUACGAUUUUUGGACGGGUUUAGAUGAAGCAAGCAGAAUCUUGGUGAAGAAAUGAAGAUAAGAAAAAGAAAGUUGAAACAGAUGGACAGAAAUAUUCGGAUAGAUUGGAUUAGAAAGAAUGUAAGAACAUAAAACAGAAGUGCAUUUGGGAUUAUGAACUUUGUGCCACUAGCCAUCAUCAGUUAAGCAUCAUUGUAUUUGUUCAUAAAUAGUAAUAAAUACUAAAAUAUCCAAAACAACAUUUAGCAUUCUAUUAAACUUAGGCUAUAAGUACUUGUAAUGAAUAGCUAUGUAACUAAGUAUAUGAACUAUGUGAAUGUACAUUUUCAAUUACUACAGCUUUAAAAAUUAGAUACAAAUUUAUAUUGUUGCUUUCACUCAUAAGCAGUCACCAAAGAGCCUCUCUACCCCUAACGUUUAAAAUAGAUAUCAAGACAUAGACAUGUAAUACAAUAUGUAUGUUUUCUUCUGCGAUGCUUCAACAGCCAUAUAUAGUUUUUAAAUAAAUUGUAUAGGAGUUCAUUUAAAACUUCCAGUAUUUUAUACACUUUUUUAAUAUUUAGAGAAACUCAGAAGUCCAGUGAUUUUAUGUUAUAAAGAAGUGCCAAGAACACUGGGCUUGCAGGACUCUGAUGCAGCUAAUGGACACUUCUUUGCCAGUGCUUACUCUGCGUGUGUCCAAACAGUAAGUGAAGUUCCCACUUUCAGAACUACAGUGAAGUUUUCUGUCUUUUUCCUGUAAUGUCUACAACAGUGCUCUCAACACAGUAAUGCUGAGAAAACUGGCUAAAAACAUGCCAUGUUUCAUAUUUCCCACCUACACCAAUAGUUUUUGUUCCUGCUUUUGUUCCUGUUGCUCAGCGAAUCUAUGUAGAAGAAAUACUUGAAGUAGCCUGAUAUUAACAUUUUAGGAUUAGAUGUGAAUGUUGCCCUGAAUUUCCCCCCCAACCAUUAAAGUUUCUUCAUAUUUUGUUACCUUUAUUUUGCCUUCCUCCUUCAUUUUUAGUAACAGUAAGAACAUAUUUCACAGACUCCAUCACAUUAGAUAGUUUCCUUAAGCUACUUUAAAGUGCCCUUCCAUUGUCUUAAAGUAACAGCAAUACCAGCAGACUUCCAGUAUAAUUGUUUGUCUUUUACAAUUGUUUGUAAUUACUCUUUUUGCAAGCAUCAGUUGUAAAUUACUACAUUACUUUGAUUACUUUAAAAUUGAUACAUACCUCAGUUUUCUGUGCAAUGUCAUUCAUGGCUACUGUAUUGUGCUCUGCACCUGGUAUGUUUAAGAUUGCUUUCAGUUUCUACCUGAAAGAAACAGUUGUAGUUAUAUUCCUUUCUUUUCCUUUUAAAUGAUGCUUUAACCAUCUUCCAGUAAAUAAGUUUGCAUAGGCUGAAAUCAAUGUAUCACAAUUUCAUUUGGUCCUUUGAGGCUUUUGAAGUCUAAGUAUGCAACAGUAAUUAAAAGAACAAGCUUAUGAUUCACUAUUCAUGCUCAUAACUCCUCUAUGUAGUCCUAGAUAUUGGUUUUUAAUUUCCACUUAAAAAAAACAAC